AGCCCAAGAGGAGGAGUGGCUUUCUCCCCCAACUACCCCAGGGGAAAGUAAACAGUCUCUGGCAUUUUCCUGCAUUCCUGAUUUUCAACCAAACUAUUGUUGAGAUUGGCCACUGUGGGCCGGGGAUGGAGAACUUCCCCUCGGGCGGAGCAAACCCGCCCAUUCCCAGGCCAGCGGCGAAGUCGGCGCCCGCCCCGGCCGGCCCUCCCAGGAACAAAGCCCCUUUGUCGCCCGCCUUCCCGGGGCCGAGGCUGCCCCGCCACGCCCGGGGCUCCCUCCCCUUCGAAGACUCCAAAGCCGGCCAGGAGCCUCACCACCGUUCUUCCAGGUCCCCUGCCUGCGAAGAAAACAAAGCAGCCUUCCUCAUCGCUCCGGGGGAGUGCAAGGGAAGAGAACAUUUCCUGCGCUUUGAGUGUGGGCGCCCUUGUCUCCUCCCUGACAGCCUUGACCCCAGGAAUUAGUUCUUUCGGGUCCUGCACCUUGUGCGAGGUCCCACAGUUGGUGAAUGGCAGAGGGUCUCAGACCCAGCACCGUUUCAGAGAAAUUACGUACACACACGCACACACACAUGAAUAUAUACACAUACGAAUUUAUACAUGUGCAUUUUUUUUUCCUUUCCAGCACCCAGGGCUGAGAAUGAAUGCCAUUUCGACGUUGUCCCCUUUCCGUCUCCAGAACUGUGGCUGAGAUGGAAAGUGAGGCUGGAUCAACCGCAGAGACGAAGGGUGCGUCUGGGAAAUGUGUGCUUCCUUGAUAUCAUUCCACCCUGUCUGGCCGCUACCGUUUGAAGAUGACCGCCAUUCAUCCCUGUUGGAGCCCAGCCGGCAUGCGGUCAGAAGCCCAAACACUUGGAGAGGUUGUGGCAAAGGUAUCUCCUUAACAGCCCAGCUGACAGCCAGCAUCACCUGCCAGCCGACGGAGUGAGCCACCUUGGAUGUCAGGCCCCAUUGGGCCUUCAGAUGCCUGCGCCCCAGCCAACAUAUAACUGCAACCCCAAGAGGCCCCCCAAAGAACGGCCCCACUGAGCCCAGUCAAACCGCGGACUAUCACAGGUAAUAAUAAACUGUUGUUUUAAACCAUGAAGUGAUGGGCUGCUUUGUUCUGCAGCAACAGAAACCCAAACACUACCUCCUAGGCCUGUUGCGAAAUGCGAUGAGAUAAUGCAUACACAUUGAUUGGUAACUGAUUACUACACUUGGAAAAAACGGGUAAGCUGAUUUAUAUGGGGAGAUAGAACAUGGGGACAAAUAAACCCAGCCCCAAGCAGGCAUGGUCUGAUCCACUCAUCUGUCACAAUUCAGGCUCUCUAUAGAAUCAUAAAAUCGCGGAGUAGAAAGGAAUCUUGGAAUUCUUCUAGUUCAACUUCCC